rnacentral:rRNA from 1 species
GACGAACGCUGGCGGCGUGCUUAACACAUGCAAGUCGAACGAAGUGGCGAACGGGUGAGUAACGCGUAAUCAACCUGCCCUUCAGCGGGGGACAACAGUUGGCAACGACUGCUAAUACCGCAUACUGAAGGCGGGGAUGGCGUCUAAUUAGCUAGUGGGAGGGGUAACGUCCCAACAAGGCGAUGAUCCGUAGACUGUGUGAUAGGAUGAGCGGCUAAAUUGGUACUGAGACACGGCCCAGACUCCUACGGGAGGUAGCAGGGGGGAAUCUGCCGCAAUGGACGAAAGUCUGACGGAUCAAGUCCGCGGGAGUGAUGACGGCCUUCGGGUUGUAAAGCUCUGUUAAUCGUGACGCGGUACCGGAAUAGAAAGCCACGGCUAACUACGGGCCAGCAGCCGCGGUAAUAC